rnacentral:lncRNA from 1 species
UUGUUGAGCACAUUGUAAGUCGACCUAGCUUGGCGUGAGUAUGUCUACCCGAGCAUAGGCGCCCUGUGAGAUUAAUUACCUCAGAACAAAUCUAGUUACCCAAGUAGGCGCACAGUAAGACGACCUAACUCGGGAGCAAACAUUGUCAACGCUAAUCGCUUGUCCGGGCAUGAGUCCAGACUAUCUCAAUAAGGACGAUGACGGCAUACCAUUUUUGUUUUGCCAUAAGGUAAGAUUACUUGGUAGGGUGUGUGUAUAAAUGUCA